ensembl:lncRNA
AGACGACUUAAAAUGUGAAAAUUAAGAGAUUCCGACUUCUCUCAGCACCACAAACCUCAGCAGUCUGACAGCAUUUCACUUUGGAAAACGAGAAAACAGGUUGGAAGGAGUCUCCAGUACCAGCGCUUCGUAACAGUCAGAGGCAGGCAGGAAGGCAAGACGUUGGGAGGGACCGCAGUACGAAUGCUGCUGCAGAAGAAGAAGAAGAAGCUUAUGAAUGACUGACGCUCUCCUGAUGCACACUUCCUGUGGACGGUUUUUACAUGAAUGGCGUGUUCUCUCUCUCUCUCUCUCUCUCUCUCUCUCUCUCUCUCUCUCUCUCUCUCUCUCUCCACCCUGGAUUAACGCAGCGGGCUCCUCUCUGCCAGCUGGCUCUCAAUGAAGCAGAGAAAGAUCGGCUCUUCUGAUUUAUCCCGCCGUUCAUUCAGAUCCCGGACUCACUUCUUUAGCGUCGUGGCUUUUUGAAACGACAAUCCAUUUUUUUUUAUUCAACACGAGAAAAGAAACUAAGCGUGUCUUAGUCUUAGUCUUGGAGGAAUUUAUGAUUAAAUGUGAUCGUUGCCUAGGGGAAUUUGUGAUUAGGUAGCAAGGGCUGUCAUUUCGGUGAUGUAUUUGAAUAUGUAGGGGGGAACAUGGAGAAGUGUUGUAUAAAGAAGGGGAAAACGUCUCUGGGUUUAUGCUGUGAUUGAGAGAAUUUGGUAACCAUGGAGAAGCAGUGAUAUAAGCGCUGUUUAGAAUGAGGCACAUCAACACGGCAGAGACUCAGACGCAUUUUCAUUUUAGAUAUUAAAUAUAUAUAUGUAUAUAUAUAUAUAUAUA